rnacentral:lncRNA from 1 species
CAGGGACCCACAGCUACCUUUUUGGUUAAACUCUCUUGUUCAAGGAGGAAAAGGAUGUUUCUUUUGGUGUCUGUAAACAUUGUCUAAUAGCAUCCAAACAAAAUUAGAACUAAAUCUCUCUCUGAGCCAACUGUCAGAGGGUUUUUCAGAAUGUUUCAGAAGAAAAGGCACCCACCAUUUUCAGCAGGAAGGAUACGGUGAUUGGUAUAAAAUUCCAGGUAGCUGCCAUUUGUAGCUGAUUUUUGUACUCUCAUAAGCCCUCUGAAGCUCUUGAAGUCCAUACCCAGGAUAAAAUCAGUGCACCCACCUUUCAGAUCCCAACACAAUCACAUGAAGCCAGGUCUAAUAAUUAAAAUUAUUACCUACUGAAUGAGAGACAUGAAAUGUAUUUUACAGGCCUUUGGGCAAUCUAAAAGGAAGCUGCAGUAUGAGCAUUUCUAAUGCCCUACACAGUGUCCCAUAUCAGUUGAAGAGCAUUGCCGUGCUGCAUCCCAAGUACCCAAUGCUUGCUCCACAGCAGAAUUUAUUAUGAGCCUCCUGAACCCAGAUUCUCAAGGGUGCCCAGCAAUUUGUACUGCCAAACUUCAGACAGUUGAAGUAAACACCUUUUUGAGAUUAUGCACAUUUAUAGUGGCUAAUGGCUCAGGCCUGGGUUCCAUUCCUGUUGUGAGGAAAGAAGAUGAAAUGUCUGGGUUUGGUGGAUGGGCUUAAAAGGGUGAAUGGAAUACGCAGGACCAUUGUGCACACCCCAGAUUUCUUGGGAGCAUGCAGGAGGCAUCUUUGUGCAAUGUCAAGGGAUUGGUCUUUACUUUGAAUAUUUGUGUCUUUUGAGCAGGUGUUGUGCUUCCCCCUGCAAAGCAGCACUCCCCCGCGGCCCGGUGACAGGCCCCUUAACGCAGAAGACGCAGGUUGUAUUCCCAGCCCUGUCAAUCCUGUGCUCUCUGCUGCAUCCCUUCCACACCCGGGCACAUCUUGGCUGUUUGGCAGCUGCCAGGCUGGUACAGAGCUCCCCUCGCCGUCAGAAGGAUGUGGAGCCGGGCUGGAGCCCCCGGAAGCUGGCAACAGGCAAUCAGGCAGCGGUGAGAGAGACUCUUAUUAAGGGUAGCCCUGGCUCUGGCUGACAAUUGCUGACAUCGUCAUAUUUAGCACCCGCAUGCAGCGAGCCUGAGAGACACUCACGCACUGGGUGAGCCAACUGCAAAUUAAUCGUCAGUUCAUUACUGCUCUGUGCCUUUCAUCCUGACAGCAGCCUUUCAAACGUG